CCUAUGGGGGGCAGCAGUCGCGAAAACUUCACAAUGGGGGCAACCCCGAUGAGGGAAUUCCUAGUGCUAGCACAAUUGUGUUAGCUUUUCUUCAGCAUAGAACACUGAAGGAAUAAGGGCUGGGUAAGACGGGUGCCAGCCGCCGCGGUAAUACCUGCAGCCCAAGUGGUGGUCGAUUUUAUUGAGUCUAAAACGUUCGUAGCCGGUUCGGUAAAUCUUUGGGUAAAUCGGGGGGCUUAACUUUCCGACUUCCGAGGAGACUGCCGAACUUGGGACCGGGAGAGGCAAGAGGUACUUCUGGGGUAGGGGUAAAAUCCUGUAAUCCUAGAAGGACCACCGGUGGCGAAGGCGUCUUGCUAGAACGGAUCCGACGGUGAGGGACGAAGCCCUAGGUCGCAAACGGGAUUAGAUACCCCCGUAGUCC
rnacentral:rRNA from 1 species